GAUGAACGCUGGCGGCGUGCCUAAUACAUGCAAGUCGAGCGAACAGACGAGGAGCUUGCUCCUCUGACGUUAGCGGCGGACGGGUGAGUAACACGUGGAUAACCUACCUAUAAGACUGGGAUAACUUCGGGAAACCGGAGCUAAUACCGGAUAAUAUAUUGAACCGCAUGGUUCAAUAGUGAAAGACGGUUUUGCUGUCACUUAUAGAUGGAUCCGCGCCGCAUUAGCUAGUUGGUAAGGUAACGGCUUACCAAGGCAACGAUGCGUAGCCGACCUGAGAGGUUGAUCGGCCACACUGGAACUGAGACACGGUCCAGACUCCUACGGGAGGCAGCAGCAGGGAAUCUUCCGCAAUGGGCGAAAGCUUGACGGAGCAACGCCGCGUGAGUGAUGAAGGUCUUCGGAUCGUAAAACUCUGUUAUUAGGGAAGAACAAAUGUGUAAGUAACUAUGCACGUCUUGACGGUACCUAAUCAGAAAGCCACGGCUAACUACGU
rnacentral:rRNA from 1 species